rnacentral:lncRNA from 1 species
UGUAUUUAUUUACAAGAUACAAAUGCUUAAUAUUUAAUAGGAAUUAAAGUGCUUAAUUUUACAAUGUUUCCAAUUCUAUGCCUUUAUGACCAAAUAUACAUAUGUUACACAAUAUAUACACUAUAUGCAAGUAUUUUACAUUCUUAUAGCUAGAAAAGAAUUACUUUUUGUGUACACUUUUUCACAUUGGAGUUAACUCUAAAAUUCUGGUAACAUACCUUCUCAAACUGAUCAGUGAACAAUUCCAAAACCCAGAUAACACUUAUUCAAAAAUAUCAGUCAAUUGUCACUCACAAAAUAAAAUGCUAGUUUGGUUAAAAAAAAAAAAAAAACAGUUUUAUAUACAGACAUGAUUGCUAAUGAAUGGAGACCCCCAGGUGAUACAUUCCAACAUCCACGUAAUGUGUAAUAUAUAAUGCAAUUCUGUUACCGUAAUGGUCCCCACAGACUAUUUCUUUCCAAACUGAUAUACAUAUAUAUUAAUAUAUAUAUAUAUAUCUUACUUUAUGUAUUUGGUAUUCACUUAUUAAAAUAUGCUACAAUGAGAUUUCUUGAUUUAAUUUCUCACUAAAUCUACCAUAACAAAUUUUAGGAAGAAGUAUACCAUCAUGUAAUUCUUAGUGACCCCAACGAGUUAAAAACUAUCUUGUAGAAGCCAUGUGCUAGUUCAUCUCAAAACACAGAAAAGGUACUGCAUUCUGCCAAAUGCACAGUCCAAAAAGUGGAAAACAAUGAUUGACUUUAGAGGAAUUUUUUACCUCAGUAAACAGUGCAGAAAAUGGCCCAUUAGAAUGAAAGAUUUUAAGCCUAAAGGAAAAAGUAACUAAUGGAGAAAGGCCUGGGUGCCUUUCCCAUCAGUUUACAAUUACAAAGAUUUCUAUUUUAUAGUUCAUAUUCCUUCUUCAGUUUAAGUUUUUUUCUCUUGUCUUAACAUAUACUGUUCUGAUCUCAAGAUCAGCAGUCUCCUUCUGUUUACCCUUGUUUAUUUCAGUUCCUAAUUUUUUUAUUCCUCUUUACUGUAUCAGUAAGAAAGUAAUCUUCUCACAAAAACAUGAUUACGGGGCACACAUAAGAAUGAAUUGUACUAAAAAUCCAUGUAAAUAAUUUAUGUUAAAAUAUUUAAGUUAAAAAGAACAGUGUCUAUAAAAAUUUCAUUCCUAUGGAAAAACAGAAUUGGAAAUCAACAAUGUUUUUACAUAUCUACAUAUAUGCAUAAAUUCACAGAAAGGGUUUUAAAAGUCUAGUGGUCUUUAUAUAUCAUACUCAUAUUUUCUAAAUCUGAAGAAUCUAUAGUAGAUAGUAAUAUGAAAAUAAAAAGCAAUUUGAUUCUACUAAAAUUGGAUGAGAAUGAAGAAGUAACACGAUCCACUACAGGUGUCAAUACAGUUCUAUAGAAUAAGAACUGGUUAGCCACAGUUUUUAUAUUAAUACAUUCUUGAAGAAUACAAAAUUGAAGAACGAAGACAUUAAGACAUUCUUGCCUUUUGAAUUAAUUUUAGCUUAUAAAUACCAUGUGCUUAAUCUUAGACCCGCUAACAUGAACAUCAUAUGAUGUAGGAAAUUUUAAUUUUUUGUUCUGCAUUAUAGCAAGGAUACCUGAAAAAAAAAACAAAAAACAAAAAACAAAAACCUUUGUUCCUUAGAGUUUAUUUGCUUCUGUUGGUGCCUUUUCAUCUGGAUAUAUCUAGUCCAGAAAGAUCAUUAUUUGAGUUAGCACAGACAAUAUUCUCAGAAUAAGAACUUAAGGCUUUAAAUAUAAUCAGAAAUGGGAUCUAAAAUUUGAAGGGGAAAAAAAAAACCCACCCUGUUUCCACAAAGUAGACAACAAAGAGUAAAACAGAAUUGGGAACUCGCAAAAGUAUUUUUGAUAUAAGGGUUUUAAAAGGCAUCAAAGAAUCUUUACCAACCCUGCAGUACUAUGAAGUUUGUAGUUUAUCUACUUAUGACUACGACAAGUACUCUUUUAAAAAAUCCAAAUGUGUACCUAUAUAUGGGGACAGGGUACACUUAAAAGAUUAGUUCUUGUAAAAAGUUUAGUAAUUUCUUAGGUUGGAGUUUUUUUUUUUUUGUUUUGUUUUUUUUUAAUUUUUUUAUUGGGAUAGGUCACCCAGUGAAGGUAAGUACACCAACCUGUUUGUUGUACUAAGCUUCAUGGAAAAUGAAAUGCAGCUUGAUAAAGUAGUGCAGAUGUGCUUAUUCUCUCAUCAUCCAUACCCUUUGCAAAAGGAAAAAUGCUUUUGACAGUUAUUUGAAUCCAAGGAAUAACGCCCCUCUUCUCUUCCCUGUACUCAGCAAUUUGAGUUAUAGUAUCACUUCUAAAAGUUAAUUCUCUAUAUCCUUGUGGCUAGGGGCAUUCAUAUUAAAAUUUCAGUAUAAAAACAUACCCUGAAGAAUUUUUAUUGCUUGCAUACAUGAUGGCAUUGUCGAUGCCAUUAUUACAAAAGUGGCUGGUGGCAUUUUUCAUUAUUGAGUCCCACUUAAAACCUGGAGAUAAGUCUGCACUACAUUUCAUACUUAACAUACCGAAUGGUAGACUUUCAAUAAAAGCUAAAUUUAAGCUUAAAAAAUUGGAAUGUUUUGUAAUGAAUAGCAGUUUUUAUCAAAGAAUUUUUUUUUUUUUUUUAAGUUUGGAGGAAGGGCACUUUAAAGAUGACUUGGAAAGCACCAAAUUAGGGAAAAUAAAAAAUGAAAUCUAUAUGGAAUGUUGGUUUUAAUAGGAAAGGAAUCAAAAAAUUUUUUUAAUGUUCAAUUUGUCUUGAGUGCUCAGAUGUCUCAGAUACCACAAAAUACUAGGGCUCUUGAAACCAAUCACACUUUGAGGUCUUUUGGUUUAGUUGGAUAUUUUUACUAAAUGCCUAAGAGUAUUCUCUUGCCUUUCUCCAAAUAAAAGCAUUAGUGAUUCUUUAAGAGAAACAGGUAAGGCUGCUUCAUUGCUUCUCUUUGUGCUUGUCUAAAGAAUAAGGGGUGGACCAUGAAGAUGGUACCUGGAUAACCACAAAGCCUCUUCUAGUACUAGUAUUUCUUUUUUUUUUUUUAAUUAAACAUGUUAAAAGCAUGAAAAUAUUCUUUUUAUGUAUUCUUUUGAUAAUCUAAAUUAAAUGACAUUGAUAUAUAUUGA